rnacentral:rRNA from 1 species
UACGUAGGGUGCAAGCGUUAAUCGGAAUUACUGGGCGUAAAGCGUGCGCAGGCGGUUUUGUAAGACCGAUGUGAAAUCCCCGGGCUUAACCUGGGAACUGCAUUGGUGACUGCAAGGCUUGAGUGUGUCAGAGGGAGGUGGAAUUCCGCGUGUAGCAGUGGAAUGCGUAGAUAUGCGGAGGAACACCGAUGGCGAAGGCAGCCUCCUGGGAUAACACUGACGCUCAUGCACGAAAGCGUGGGGAGCAAACAGG